rnacentral:ncRNA from 1 species
CUAAGGGGUGCUCCGUCGCCGUGCCUUCAUGAGGCUGGCUAUUGGCGGGGCUGAGAACAGACCCAGAACCUGAUCCGGAUAAUGCCGGCGUAGGGAAACAAAG